rnacentral:rRNA from 1 species
UGCCUACGGGGGGCAGCAGUGGGGAAUAUUGCACAAUGGGCGAAAGCCUGAUGCAGCAACGCCGCGUGAGCGAUGAAGGUCUUCGGAUCGUAAAGCUCUGUCCUCAAGGAAGAAUUUUGACGGUACUUGAGGAGGAAGCCCCGGCUAACUACGUGCCAGCAGCCGCGGUAAUACGUAGGGGGCUAGCGUUAUCCGGAAUUAUUGGGCGUAAAGGGUGCGUAGGCGGUCCUACAAGUCAGAGGUGAAAGGCUACGGCUCAACCGUAGUAAGCCUUUGAAACUGUAGGACUUGAGUGCAGGAGAGGAGAGUGGAAUUCCCAGUGUAGCGGUGAAAUGCGUAGAUAUUGGGAGGAACACCAGUUGCGAAGGCGGCUCUCUGGACUGUAACUGACGCUGAGGCACGAAAGCGUGGGGAGCGAACAGGAUUAGAUACCCGGGUAGUCC